rnacentral:lncRNA from 1 species
UUUCAAACACAGAAACUGAAAAGUAGCGAAGAUGUCGCAUUUGCAUUUACAGCUACACUCACAAGCACCGUCGCUCUCUUCUUCUUCAACUUCUCGUUUUUCUUUCCUUAAGCUUUUCACAAACAACACUUUCUCUUUAUCUCCAACAACAAACUCUCUUCCUUUCAAACCCUUAACUAUCAGAUGCCGCCACUCUGACGUCUUUGAAACUGGAACCAACCCUUCUAUUCCCACUUCAACCCCCAACAACAAC